rnacentral:lncRNA from 1 species
AUUUGCAACCAACUGAUUUUUUUCUAUAAGGAAGAGUAACUAGUUCCCAUAUAUAAUUCUUUUUCGGAGCAUUCAUCUCCUCAAUCAUAGCUUGUUUCCAAUUCUCAUCACUGAUUGCUUCUCUUCACCCAUGAGGAAUAGAUAUUGAAGACAAGGAAGAAACAAAGGAGUGGUAGAAUGUAGAUAAUUUAUCAUAGGUUAAGAAACUAGAGAUAGGGUAUUGAGUGCAAGAUCGAACCCCUUUUCUAAGAGCAAUAGGAAUGUCAGUAUCAUCAUAAAAACAAGUAGGACUAAGGUUGGAGCAAGGUUGAUGCAGAAAUGAUGAUCUUAUUGACUUAUUCUUGCCUCUUCGAACAUAGGUUCUCAACUCAGGCUCAGGUUCAUGUAAUUCCCCCUGUGUAGAAUUAUUAGAAACUACAACCGGAACAGGCUCAUCAGUACAGGGAAAGUAAAACUUGUAACCUCAAAAUGAAUGUUCUCCUCAUCAAUAACAUCCUCCCCUGAGGAGAAGAUGAAGAAGAAUAAAAAGGUGUCAAUUCCCAAAAGGUGACAUCCCGAGUGACAAGGACUUUGUUAGGAG